GGUGUGCGCCCCCGGCGCUGGAGCAGCCGCGUUUCGGGGACCCGGGCAGGCGUGGGGGGCUGCGCUGAGCUCCAGGCCUCCUGCAGGUAGGGAUGCUUUGCUGACAGAUUCGGGCGUCCUCCCCUGAACGAAUGUCCUGGCGGGGCGUGCCCAGCCACCAUCCAGCUUCAGAGGCAAUGGCCGGGCGUCGUGAGAAGGGGAGGGAGAAGGAAGCGGAAGAGAGAGAGUUGGAAAGACUAGAGGAAGAGGUGGCCACGUCUUUUGCCAUCCCAGCUUUAAACUGCAGUGUUUAAGGCCUCGUCUGCCCUGCUAAGGUCACCGAACUUUUUACUUUAUGUGAAAAGUGCUUCCCAAGGGAGGCACAGGGACUCCGGUUCUGAAACCGAUUAAUGGUCUUAGAGCCCCCAGUAAGCCGUUACCAAAGUGUCCGGGUCACAGUUGCAGAGGAAGUGAGAAGCGUGUUCGACCUCAUUUGAAACGGCUUCACAGAGGGUAAACCUCAAGUUGAUUUUGUAAAAAGGAAAGCCUGUGGUUUGGCCGAGAAGAAUAAAUAAUAUAUUCUAGAUCCACGUGUAGUGACUUGGUUUGGGAAAAAAGAAUCCACAGGGAGAGGAACAGCGCAGAGGGUUCUGUGGUCUAUCGCCCAGGCUGGCUUGCAGAGAACGGAAUUCAAUCUAGUUAGUUUAAGCAGAAAGGGAUUUGCGGCAGGAUAUUAAGUGGUUUACAGACUCUUUGGGAAGACUGAAGGAUCAGAUUCCAGACUGAUCUUUUAAGAACACGACCCAAAGCCACCCUGAAGAACUAAAGAAUCUAAUGCCCCUCCUCGAAUUCAGCAGACACCAGUGGCGUAGGGAAACGGUGGCCACAGCUGCUAGCCCCAGAACCAUGCCACCUGCCCGGGUCGGAAACCACCAUGACAGGCAAUUGAUAUAGUCAAGAAACUCCCCCAAGCCGAAAGCUACUGCUAGUGCUGCCAACUCUAAAACCGUGACACCCCUGGCAUAACCCACACCAGCAAAUAGGUUCCCUGGGCAGUGCUUUUUAAUACUCCACAAAGCCAGUAAGUAGACACUGAGACCUCUCCUCCCGCUUUCAGAGCGAAACCAGGUACCUUCACAAUGGUGCUUGUCAGCAGAAUAUUAGAAACAUGCCUUCCUAAUCUCGCACUAAUUCUCCUGAAUAGUGGAAUCUAAAUCACCGUAGAACCCUAGAUGCAAGGGAGUUGGGGAAAUAUAGUAAAAACUCCAGCGUCCCAGCUCCUACAAUACAUGAAGGCAUGCUAGGAUGAUGUCAGCAUGGUUGCUGGUGACUCAAUCCGCAGUUCCCAUCACAGUCCUCCACCUGGUUACUCAACUCCCAUGCACUCCUCUCUUCUCAUACGUACACUUCCAAAUGGCAAUGAUUCCCCCUGCAGUAAAACAUGGAACUCACUUUCUUCCCAAAAUGGGGAAGUGCCAUGAGCCACUGCAUCCUGCUGUCACGGAGGUUCUAUGUUCUAGAUUCUGUCCUGGUGUUCAUUCGAGUUCAGUCAUAAUCCUCCCUUGAUAUCUUAUAACCCGUAGACCUAAUUAUAAAGUCACAUCUUAUAUAAAACACAUCCAAUAUAAAAUGUUAAGGGAAACGGGGAGGACAAAUAUAAAUUGACUAGGAUAGAGAAAAGAAGGAAAACAAUGCUAUUACAGUCCUCAUUUUUCCAAGGCUUGUGAGUCUGAGGUUGGACUGUUGAGCAUCCUUGCUUUAUCCUGGCAUGUAUUUCCUUUCACCAUAUCCGGCGCCUCUGCUGGUUAGUGCUCUUUAUCUAGUGGAGCAAUCUAAGUCUUUUUUCCUGAGAGGUCCUAUUUCUGUGUGGUCUUUCUUGUAUUGAGAUGCUGUAGUCUUCCACCAACUCUGUGAUUGGACAUACAGCCUUGCCUAUGAUUUUCCUUGAGGGGUUCUGCAGUGGCAUAUUCUGGCAGUGGUAUGUUCAGUCUUACAUUUUUAAAAUAAGACCUAACAUUUUAAAAUAAGACACCAUCGUAUCCUGAUUGGCUAUGGAUGCUUCCAGCACUAUUAGAUCUGUUACGGAUCCAAGUGGUGGUAAAGCUGCUUGCACAUGGCCUGAAAUUUUUGUUUUUGUUUUUUAAGACAGUCUCUCUCUGUCACCCAGGCUGGAGUGGCACAGUGGUGCAACCAUACCUCACUGCAGCCUUCAACUCCUGGGGCUCAAGAAAUCCUCUUGCCUCAGCAUCCUGAGAAGCUAGGACUAUAGGUGUAUGCCACCAUGCACCCAGCUAAUUAAAAAAAAUUUUUUUUGAGACAGAGUCAUGGUUUUUUUUUGCCCAGGCUUGUCUUGAACUUCUGGGUUCAAGCGAUCCUACUGCCUUGGCCCUCACAAAGUGCUGGGAUUAUAGGCAUGAGCUACCAUGCCUGGCCUGCCCUGGGAUUUUCUCAAAGCUGGCAGACUAAUGGGUUAUUCAGAAUAUGGGUCAGAGCUGCACACACACCCACAUACACACACACACACACACACACACACACACAGUACAUAUUGGUUCCCCAAUCCAGAGUCGUAUCAAGUGCUAUAGCUCUUUAUUAGCAGUAGGGGGUGCAAGAUUCAGAGAGAUAUCCCAUCGCUCACCAGAUCACUGGGCACAGCAAUUCUGCUGAGAGAGCAGGUUCUUGAAUUCUUGUGACACAACAUUCCACUCUUUGGCACACAUGUAGGCACAUAAUGUACUUGUUUCCGCUCACUAGGUGCAAUAAGAAUCGUAUUACUAAUGUGGUGUCCUCUGGAAUGGUCACAUGAACACAGUUCCCUGCAGAUGUAAUUGGGAGAGAAGGCACAGUCCUGACACAGGGUAAGACUGUGGAGGUGUAUUGCUGUCCCUACCAGCUGUGCCUUAACUUCCUCGAAAGACAACAUCAGUGCUGGCGGGCCUCAAGAAGAGCCAUCCCAAGGUAUUGACUAGGCAUCAGCGUCUUCACCAGGGCAACACAGAACAUCCCUGCAGAGUUCCUGGUGGCUGCAGUGGCUGGUAGGGGAUGUAUGCCUGCUUUCCAUCAGAUUCCCAAAGCGGAGCCCCUGGAGGCUUUGGCCCAUGGCCCUGAAGCUCCCUUUCACAAGGAAGAAAGACUUUGCAAAGCCAACACCACUAUUGGAGAGAAAGUGGAGAAUGUGUAUUAGAAGUACUAGUCUUUGAAGGCAAAACAGCUGUAUAGAGUGAGCUUAAGUGCUGGAUCCCUGUGGUUAGGAAGGGACACUAAGCCUCCGGGAUGUGAGAGUCCCAUGGAAGGCAGUAGGCCCAGGAUAAAGCAGGUGUCAGCUCAGAAAGCCCACCAUCACCCAGAAAAGGGAAGAAAUACGCUACCACCAUCACUCUUUCUGCCAAUGACUUCUUUGCACACCUCCACCCUAUCUCCUGGCUCAGUCUCCCAUGUUCUCAUAGCUAGGGAGGUCUCCAUUGUAAUUUGUAUGGGGAGGUUAACCUAUAGGCCAUUCUGAUGAUCCCAGCUCCCUUUCACUACAACCCCCGUCUGCAUCCUUUGCUUUGCAGUAGGAUUUGAGAGAGGAAGGAUGAAGAUGUAGCCACAGGAUACAUUUAAACAGGCACAGAGUUUGAGGGGUGGGGGGGAACAAAAGCAAAACAAUAAAACCUUCACCAGUCAUUAAAGAAAUGAAAAUGAACCUUUUGAGAUUGUCAAUUUUUAUCUGCUAAGUCAAGAAAAGCUAAUUUAAUUCCUGGCAAUUUCACAAUAAAAAAAAUUGUGCUAGCUCUUGGUGGCAUUGUAAGUAGUUAAAGGCUUUUUGGGAAGUAAUUUGAAAUACAUCAAGUCUUGAAAAUGAUUAUACCAGUGGAUCCAAUCAUCUCGCUGGUGGAAAUUCAUCUGAAGGAAAUGAUUCAGUGGAAAAAACAACCCGUCUACACUUGUUGCACCUAAAUGUCCAGGAAUAAGGGAAUGACAGAAGAAAUCUCAGCACAUUCUCUGAAUGGAACAGAAACCGAGCGUUUGGAACUAGAAUUGCGCAGACUGAAUUGAAUAUGGAAGUGGCUUUAAAUGGCAUGUUAGGUGGAAACACUGGAUGUCUG
rnacentral:lncRNA from 1 species